rnacentral:rRNA from 1 species
UACGUAGGCAGCAAGCGUUGUUCGGAAUUACUGGGCGUAAAGAGUGUGUAGGCGGUGCUCUAAGUUCGGUGUGAAAUCUCCUGGCUCAACUGGGAGGGUGCGCCGGAAACUGUUGAGCUAGAGUCCGGAAGAGGCGAGUGGAAUUCCUGGUGUAGCGGUGAAAUGCGCAGAUAUCAGGAGGAACACCAAUGGCGAAGGCAGCUCGCUGGGACGGUACUGACGCUGAGACGCGAAAGCGUGGGGAGCAAACAGG